GAUCACGUUUCCGCUUUCAGACCCGGUGGAGAAUUUGUCUGGCGUUCUUUGGCUCCUAUGCCGAUGGCACUGUCCUGUUCAUCGGCGGUUUCUUUUCAAGGUUCCCUUUUUGUUGUCGGCGGUGUCAACAAUACGGGCU
rnacentral:ribozyme from 1 species